ACAAUGCGAAGCGAAGCAGUGAUGUGAAGCAAAUCGCACCAAAGCCGGUCCCAGUUCGGAUAAGAGGCUGAAACUCGCCUCUUUGAAGUCGGAAUCGCUAGUAAUCGCAGAUCAGCAUGUUGCGGUGAAUACGUUCCCGGGUCUUGUACACACCGCCCGUCAAACCAUGAGAGUCACCAACACCCGAAGUCCGCUUUGGCGGCCUAAGGUGGGGGAGAUGAUUGGGGUUAAGUCGUAACAAGGUACC
rnacentral:rRNA from 1 species